rnacentral:lncRNA from 1 species
UCAUCACAAUCGUCGUUCAAUAUGAACAAGCCCCUCACAUUGGUUGCAUGACCAUCAAGUGUAUUACUCAUAUAAAAUAGAAAAACCAUUAUUCUCUGACUUAAAUGAGUUACCGUCUUGCAAUAAACAAGAUCCAGAUAUAAUGUUCAUGCUCAACGCAGCCACUAAAUAAAAAUUAUUUAAGUUCAUCACUAAUCCCAAUGGUAACUGAAGUGAGAGCGUGUCGACGGCAAUCACAUCAACCUUGGAACCAUUUCCCACGCGCAUCGUCACUUCAUCCUUCGCCACCCUUCAUUUAUUCUGCAG